rnacentral:rRNA from 1 species
GGGUUGUGAGGUUAAGCGACUAAGCGUACACGGUGGAUGCCCUGGCAGUCAGAGGCGAUGAAGGGCGUGCUAAUCUGCGAUAAGCGCCGGUAAGGUGAUAUGAACCGUUAUAACCGGCGAUACCCGAAUGGGGAAACCCAGUGUGAUUCGUCACACUAUCAUUAACUGAAUCCAUAGGUUAAUGAGGCGAACCGGGGGAACUGAAACAUCUAAGUACCCCGAGGAAAAGAAAUCAACCGAGAUUCCCCCAGUAGCGGCGAGCGAACGGGGAGGAGCCCAGAGCCUGAAUCAGCAUGUGUGUUAGUGGAAGCGUCUGGAAAGGCGCGCGAUACAGGGUGACAGCCCCGUACACAAAAGCGCAUAUGCUGUGAGCUCGAUGAGUAGGGCGGGACACGUGGUAUCCUGUCUGAAUAUGGGGGGACCAUCCUCCAAGGCUAAAUACUCCUGACUGACCGAUAGUGAACCAGUACCGUGAGGGAAAGGCGAAAAGAACCCCGGCGAGGGGAGUGAAAAAGAACCUGAAACCGUGUACGUACAAGCAGUGGGAGCCCCACCACUAAGCCAGUGGUGAACUCCACAUACGCAUCCUUUGCUGAGGAGACGGUUAACGGAGCGAAAGCGACGUUCAACCUCAAAAGAAGCAGAGGGGGCUUAGUGGUGGGGUGACUGCGUACCUUUUGUAUAAUGGGUCAGCGACUUAUAUUCUGUAGCAAGGUUAACUGUAUAGGGGAGCCGGAGGGAAACCGAGUCUUAACCGGGCGUUAAGUUGCAGGGUAUAGACCCGAAACCCGGUGAUCUAGCCAUGGGCAGGUUGAAGGUUGGGUAACACUAACUGGAGGACCGAACCGACUAAUGUUGAAAAAUUAGCGGAUGACCUGUGGCUGGGGGUGAAAGGCCAAUCAAACCGGGAGAUAGCUGGUUCUCCCCGAAAGCUAUUUAGGUAGCGCCUCGUGAAUUCAUCUCCGGGGGUAGAGCACUGUUUCGGCUAGGGGGCCAUCCCGGCUUACCAACCCGAUGCAAACUGCGAAUACCGGAGAAUGUUAUCACGGGAGACACACGGCGGGUGCUAAUGUCCGUCGUGAAGAGGGAAACAACCCAGACCGCCAGCUAAGGUCCCAAAGUCAUGGUUAAGUGGGAAACGAUGUGGGAAGGCCCAGACAGCCAGGAUGUUGGCUUAGAAGCAGCCAUCAUUUAAAGAAAGCGUAAUAGCUCACUGGUCGAGUCGGCCUGCGCGGAAGAUGUAACGGGGCUAAACCAUGCACCGAAGCUGCGGCAGCGACACCGUGUGUUGUUGGGUAGGGGAGCGUUCUGUAAGCCUGUGAAGGUGUGCUGUGAGGCAUGCUGGAGGUAUCAGAAGUGCGAAUGCUGACAUAAGUAACGAUAAAGCGGGUGAAAAGCCCGCUCGCCGGAAGACCAAGGGUUCCUGUCCAACGUUAAUCGGGGCAGGGUGAGUCGACCCCUAAGGCGAGGCCGAAAGGCGUAGUCGAUGGGAAACGGGUUAAUAUUCCCGUACUUGGUGUUACUGCGAAGGGGGGACGGAGAAGGCUAUGUUGGCCGGGCGACGGUUGUCCCGGUUUAAGCGUGUAGGUAUGUGUUCCAGGUAAAUCCGGUUCACUUUA